UUUGGACUAUGCUAAGUGUAAUAUAUGGUGACUUACUAGGAUAUGGUUAACACUCUUAAGCAUAAUAGUUAUGUUGUGUGUUUAUUAGAAAUAUGUGUAGUUAAUGGGCCUGAUCAUCAUGGGGAUUAGGUUUUAUCUUGAGGUAUAUCUUUAUUUUUGCUAAUUAAGACAUGUCUUAUCAUUUGGAGUUUACCAUGAUUUUUAUUCGAAUCCUGAGGAAUUACCCAAGUGCCUAGUUAU
rnacentral:lncRNA from 1 species